GACGAACGCUGGCGGCGUGCCUAAUACAUGCAAGUCGAACGCAGUGGGGACGGGUGAGUAACACGUGGGUAACCUCCCAUCAGAGGGGAUAACACUUGGAAACAGGUGCUAAACCGAUACUGAUGGAUGGACCCGCGGUGCAUUAGCUAGUUGGUGAGGUAACGGCUCACCAAGGCCACGAUGCAUAGCCGACGUGAGGGGGUGCUCGGACGAGCAGGGACUGAGACACGGCCCGGAAGCCUACGGUAGGCAGGAGUAGGGAAUCUUCGGCAAUGGACGAAAGUCUGAACGAGCAACGCCGCGUGAGUGAAGAAGGUUUUCGGAUCGUAAGGCUCUGUUGUUAGAGAAGCGGUAUCUAACCAGAAAGCCAGGGCUAACUACGUGCCAGCAGCCGCGGUAAUUC
rnacentral:rRNA from 1 species